rnacentral:lncRNA from 1 species
GUGGAAUUCGAAGCAAUUCAGGUUUGGAAAACCCGUAAGAACAAGGAACGGGAUGAAGGAACGUUGUCACCACGAGAGGUAGCGCUGCUGACAAACUUGCUGGGUACGCCGAUAGGACCUGCCGGUGCGAUCCUUCAGGGGUACGAUCUUGGCCAGGCUAGGCAAGACGCCAGAAACACGGGCUUCUAAUUUCUAAAGACGGUUGAUCUGGCCGUAGUAGCUAAAAGUCGUAUGUUUGAACAAUAAUCGUAUAGUUAUAUCUCUUCUAUCUUAUUACUAAGGCUUGGCCCGCUUAUGAUGCGGGAUUAUUAAACUUGGAUAUUUUUUACUUAUGUCUUUAAUAUAUAAGGGAUGAUUGCAUGCUUUUGCUGGUUAUUUUAGUUUUCAAUUCAUUUACUUUGGUAUAUUUCUUUUAGAGUCAUUUACACUCUAGGGCAGUUUUCAAGUUUUAUUUACACAAUAAGACAGUUUCCGCUAGUGAGGUAGUUUUUUCUAACUAGAAACCAAACCAUUAUCACUAAAGUCAUUUAUCUAACUAAAGUGGUCCUACCAUGUUAAUUAUUAUUAUUUUUCUUUGGAACACAAAGAAUUUUUUAUUAUUGGUGGACGUGAAAGAGGAUUAAACUUGAUAAUAAUUUUAUUUUGGAGCACAACUUUCUCUUCUCCACUUCGAUCUUCUUCUUCUCCACCUUGACCUUCAUCCUACGACAAACACCGCCGCCGGCUCAGUCUCCGACUCUGUUUCCGAUCUCCUACUUUGCGGCGAGUCUACAAUUCAUCGUCACCAGAUGGUCACUCUCGCGCCGUCGCGUCUCGUCUUCCUCAAGGUCUUCAAUUCGGUGGCUCGUCAAGCUCCAUUGUACUUUCCUCCGUGACCUCUCCUCCUUGCCAACCGUCAGCAAACCAAACCGGGGUCUCUCAAACCUCGACGGGACCUGUUUGUCUCGAAAGAGAAUGAAUCAGGUUAUGUAACUUAUGUUAAUAAUUUAUAAUUAUUAUUGAUCGACUUACAUGUUGUUUUGUUUUAUGUAGAUCAUUUCCUGCGUUGAAAACGCUUGUACGAUGCGUCAAGCACCUGGGGAUCUCAAAAAGAGGCUUGAGACAAUGUCCGUGUACUUAUGUGAAACUACUUCACACUCAGCCUACGCAGAGGCCAUAAUUACUGGAUUUUUCCAGUCGGCGGGGAGCAAUGUAACUGAGGAAACAAGCUGUAAGUUUAAUUGUUAAAUUGUUGUAACUUUGUAGUAUUAUAUAAAUGGUCUCUUAAUUAUAAACAUUUGUCUCGCAGUGCUCUCCGUCAAAAAUGAGAUCCAUGGAGUUUUCAAUGCUUACGGUCCGGUUCUAUUACCAUAUGCAAAUACCCUAAAUUUACAAGUAAGUUUUUUUUCUAUAGCAGUUAAGGGAUUUUAGGGAAGCUUUAUGGUCCAAAUCGUAUAACUAAAACGACUGUCUCUGUCAAUAUUAUGGUCCUUCUGCUUCAUCAAUCGCUUAUAUGCUUGUCAUUUGUGAAAAUCUGUGGUUAGUCUAGAGUCUAGACUAAUUAAUUAAGAUUUUUUGCAAGAUUUUUUGGCUCUUUUUCUUUUAGUUUUAGUGAAUAUGAGAAUUUUCUAAACUAAUUCAACAAGGCAAUAUAAUUUAGUUUUUCCAAACCUUGAAGCUGACAUUUAUUUUCAUCAGAUAUUUUGUCAACCCUUUUAUUGCUUAGGCUUGUUAAACGCUAAUCCAUUGUUAUUUCUAUUAGUUUAAGCUAAGUGUUCUUGUCUGCAACCAGUCCGGGUCUAUUAAUUAAAGCUAAGCGAUCUUUCUAAGUGUUUUUUCUCUUUUGAAGUGGGUGUCUAAUAGAGAACUGUGUUGUCGCUUAUUAGUUAACGUGAAUGUUUAAAAAUGCCUACUUUUGUUAAAACAACACAAUAAUAAAGACAUUAUUUUGUGAAGUGAAGACUUGGGAGAAAAAAGUGUUAAUAUACAAAACUAUUAAGCAAAUAAUAUAAAGUAAAACAAUGGUUAGAAGAGUGAAUUAGUACUUAACUAAUUUAAGUUAUACUAGAUCCUUGUAUUUAAAAAAGUGACAUAUCUUAAGCAAAAACAAUGUUUAAUACUACACAGUAUUACAAGUACAGAAAAGUAAGGAAGAGUUGGACAUUUUAUUGAUUGAAAAACUGUCAAAUUUUUAAUCAAUGCAUGAUUUUGUAGAGAAAGUGCAUGAAAAGUGUUUUUAAAAAGAAUUGAUGGAAUACCAUUUUGUUCGACCAUAUAAUUAAUAUACAGAUCCAAGUGAUCGAUACUGUGGAGAGAAUCUGCCUUGAAGCGGACUCAUCGUUUUUUCCAGCUUUCGGUUACGUAAGUAAAAAUAUAUUCUCUUUUUAAUUUUUCUAAAGUUGUUAUAUGAUGCUAUUUAUUUGGUUUUACUUUGGUUUGAUUUUAAACUAAUAGAUAAUUGAGGUUCUGUCGAACCACGGUGUGGAAUUCGAAGCAAUUCAGGUUUGGAAAACCCGUAAGAACAAGGAACGGGAUGAAGGAACGUUGUCACCACGAGAGGUAGCGCUGCUGACAAACUUGCUGGGUACGCCGAUAGGACCUGCCGGUGCGAUCCUUCAGGGGUACGAUCUUGGCCAGGCUAGGCAAGACGCCAGAAACACGGGCUUCUAAUUUCUAAAGACGGUUGAUCUGGCCGUAGUAGCUAAAAGUCGUAUGUUUGAAC